rnacentral:rRNA from 1 species
GAUGAACGCUGGCGGCGUGCCUAAUACAUGCAAGUCGAGCGAACGGACGAGAAGCUUGCUUUUCUGAUGUUAGCGGCGGACGGGUGAGUAACACGUGGAUAACCUACCUAUAAGACUGGGAUAACUUCGGGAAACCGGAGCUAAUACCGGAUAAUCUUUUGAACCGCAUGGUUCAUAAGUGAAAGACGGUCUUGCUGUCACUUAUAGAUGGAUCCGCGCUGCAUUAGCUAGUUGGUAAGGUAACGGCUUACCAAGGCAACGAUGCAUAGCCGACCUGAGAGGGUGAUCGGCCACACUGGAACUGAGACACGGUCCAGACUCCUACGGGAGGCAGCAGUAGGGAAUCUUCCGCAAUGGGCGAAAGCCUGACGGAGCAACGCCGCGUGAGUGAGGAAGGUCUUCGGAUCGUAAAACUCUGUUAUUAGGGAAGAACAUAUGUGUAAGUAACUGUGCACAUCUUGACGGUACCUAAUCAGAAAGCCACGGCUAACUACGUG